UACGGGGGGGGCAAGCGUUGUUCGGAAUUACUGGGCGUAAAGGGCUUGUAGGCGGCCAACUAAGUCAGACGUGAAAUCCCUCGGCUUAACCGGGGAACUGCGUCUGAUACUGGAUGGCUUGAGAUUGGGAGAGGGAUGCGGAAUUCCAGGUGUAGCGGUGAAAUGCGUAGAUAUCUGGAGGAACACCGGUGGCGAAGGCGACAUCCUGGACCAACACUGACGCUGAGGAGCGAAAGCCAGGGGAGCAAACGGG
rnacentral:rRNA from 1 species